CAGAGAGCCAACUGUGAAAUGAUGACUUGGGAAAAGGCAGUGAAAAUACAGGGUUAUUGGAGCGUUUGCCUUCCUGGGGCCUGAGCUCAGAGUCAGCAGGGGCAGGAGCCAGCAGAGUGGAAUCCAGGCUCCAUAGACUCACAACUUCCCUCACUCUUCUCAGGUCCUUGCCACUCAGGGAGGAGAAGAAAGGAUCCCCUUGUUAGGAAAGUAAUGGGAAGCUUCAGUCAAUCUACCCUCUCACAACCCUGGCUCCAUUACCUGACAAUCUACUCAUCCCUUUCUGGCUUCUGGGGCACCUGUGAUUUGAUUCACAAAAUCUGCCUGCCAUGUAGGAGACGCAGAAGGUCAGGAAGAUCCCCUGGAGGAGGAAAUGGCAACCCAUGCCGGUAUUCUUGUUCAGAAAAGCUCACGGACACUGGAGCUUGGCGGGCUCAGUACAUAGGGUUGCAAAGAGAGGAAAGAACUGAGAGACUGAGCAUGUGACCGGAUUAGCUCCGUCUGAAUCAUCUCCCCUUUUCUGGGUCAAGUGUGCUACGUAACUUAACACAGCCACAGGAAUAAUAUCUCUUCCUGUUCACGGGUUCCAGGCAGGAGGAUGUAGAAUCUUGAGUGUUUUCCUAGAAUGUCUGCCUGCCACAGGGACACCUCUACAGAAAAAAAAAAAAAUUGUUUGCUACUCUGCUUCCUCUUCUGUCUUCUCUUGAAUGUUCUUGAAGAGGAUAUCUCUUCAAGGUUGGGAGGCUGAACAAAAGUCAACACAGUAACACUGGCAGAGUGAGAAGUCAAAUACAACAGAUUGCUAGACAAUUUUCUUCAGUUAUCAUUAUUGAAAAAAUUGAAGCUUCCCAGAUGGAGCCAAACCCAAGUUCUGAGGAGGAAUCAUUAUUCAAAAUCAUUGAAAUCAUUAUUGAAAAAUUGAAUCUUCUCAGAUGGAGCCAAACCCAAGUUCUGAAGAGGAAUAUAUACAAACUCAAAGUUUCCUUGUGUUAGAAAGAGCAAUACUGUUGAGCUAGGUUCUCUGAGGUGCUGGAUUAUAUAUUAUAUAUUUAAUGCCUGGAAAUACUCUGUGAUUAUAGUUGGUACUCAAUGUUUCUCCAUUAACUAUUAUAUUAAAAAAAAAAAACAAGACUAGAGUAAACAGAUAUGGAAAAGACUGAUAAAUAAGAAAGUUCUUGAUUAAAACUAAGUAUUUUAUCCCAGUACCAUACAGUUGUGAUCACUAUAGCUUUGUGGUAUGGUUUGAAAUCUGGGACAUGA
rnacentral:lncRNA from 1 species